rnacentral:rRNA from 1 species
UACGAGUGGCUCAAGCGUUAUCCGGAAUUAUUGGGCGUAAAGGAUGUGUAGGUGGUUAUAUUAGUCGGGCGUUCAACCUCUGGGCUCAACCUGGAGAUCGCGUUCGAAACGGUAUGACUAGAGUAUGUUAGGGGUAAGCGGAACUCAUAGUGUAGGGGUGAAAUCCGUUGAUAUUAUGGGGAACACCAAAAGCGAAGGCAGCUUACUGGGACAUUACUGACACUGAAACAUGAAAGCGUGGGUAGCGAAUGGG